CAACAAGGAUUCCCUUAGUAGCGGCGAGCGAACCGGGAGAAGCCCAGCUUGAAAAUCGCGUGUGCUUUUUCGGAGGCGGCGCGAGUUGUAGUCUGGAGAAGUGUCCUCUGCGGCGGACCCGGCCUAAGUCCCCUGGAAAGGGGCGUCAGAGAGGGUGAGAACCCCGUCGGGCCGGGACCCUGUUGCUCCACGAGGCGCUGUCGAGGAGUCGGGCUGUUUGGGAAUGCAGCCCUAAGCGGGAGGUAAAUUCCUUCCAAGGCUAAAUACGGGCGGGAGACCGAUAGCGAACAAGUACCGCGAGGGAAAGAUGAAAAGGACUUUGAAAAGAGAGUCAAAGAGUGCUUGAAAUUGCUGGGAGGGAAGCGAAUGGAGGCCUGGUGUGCGCCCCGGUCGGAUGCGGAACGGCUUCAGGGCUGGUCCGCCGCUCGACGCGGGGUGCUGGUCGGCGUGGGCUUCUCCGGCGGGAUAAAAGUUUUGGGCCGGUCGCCGCGCCUCCCUCUCGGGGGAGGGUCGUGGUGAUCGGGCCGGCCGAUGCCGUCGGGGAGGUCGAGGAACCCGUGGAAGUGCGCGUCCCCCUUUCGGGGGGGACGGGUCCCUUCGGGGGCACCUGCGUACUCGGGACGCCGGCGUAGUGGGCUUUUCAUCCGACCCGUCUUGAAACACGGACCAAGGAGUCUAACAUGCACGCGAGUCGGUGGGCGGCAMACCCAAAGGAGGGGGGGUAUUUMUUCUUCUUCUCGGACCGGCGAAAAUAACUUAACUGGUGUGAUCCUUUAGCCCUCGGGCGGGGUGCAACAUCGACCGACCAUGAGCAUCUCGAUGCGAAAGGUUCGAGUAAGAGCGUGCCUGUUGGGACCCGAAAGAUGGUGAACUAUGCCUGAGCAGGGCGAAGCCGGAGGAAACUCCGGUGGAGGCUCGUAGCGAUACUGACGUGCAAAUCGUUCGUCAGACUCGGGUAUAGGGGCGAAAGACUAAUCGAACCAUCUAGUAGCUGGUUCCCUCCGAAGUUUCCCUCAGGAUAGCCGGAGCAGGAGGAGUUUCGUCAGGUAAAGCCAAUGAUUAGAGGCAUCGGGGGUGAAACACCCUCGACCUAUUCUCAAACUUUAAAUAGGCGAGAUCCGUAAACGUUCGGGGUUGCUUGAUUGAACCCCCGGGUGCGGAGAAUCCG
rnacentral:rRNA from 1 species